CCCCCGCCCCCAGUCAGGGCCCGCGGGAGCUCCGCGGGCGCGUAGCCGGGGCUCCGCCGCGGGCUGCCGAGGCCUCCCUGCCCUUACCGCAGAGUUUGUUUCCGAUCCCUCCAGUGAACUUCUGCGCGACCUGACACCAGGCUCUGGCUGCAAGAGAAAAUUGAGCGGAGGGUCCGUGGGGGCGGGCGCGGGCCGGGGGCACUUCGCCCGGCAUCGAGCACUGCUCCCCAGAAACCCCCUGCCCCGCCGAGCCGAGCCGCGCCGGGCGCGGCUAGAACCGCUGUCGGUCCCCGCCGCUCCGUCCCGCCGGUCCAGCUGCCACAAAAGGGUCUCCGGUGACCCGGCAGCGCUGCCGCGGCGGCUCCGCGGCUCCGUCGGGCCGGUCCCUCUCGGCUGCUCGGCGCUCCCCUACCUGUGCCGGGGCUCUCCGCGGCGGCGGAGCCCUCCUCGGCCCCGAAGGGCCAGAAGCCGGAGCCGGGGCUUGCCAUGGCGGAGGCGAACCGGCUGGGCGGGCGCGGAGCGGCGAGCUGCAGCCCCGGCGGCCGGAGCGACUGUGCGUGAGCGCGGCGUGCGGGUGGGAUGCAACCAACAUCAGAAAAAGAGCUGUAACAGACCAGACAUGGGGGACACGGACAUUAAGUGAAAACUAUAAGCAGUGGCAUAAUCAGGUCACCGAAGUCAAGAGUGGAAAGCAGCACUUGGUAUCUGAACUUGGACCAAAGGCUAUAUAUAGAGACACUCAAAUCCAUUAGUCUCCUGAGCUGUUGGUGUUUGCCAAUUCCUUCAUAAUCACAAUCUGACACAUUUGUAAAGGAAGUUACAGUGUGCAUACUAAUACAGCCUGUUUUAAUAUUUCCUCUCUCUGCAAGAUCAAGCACUAAUUUAGAUGCUCAAAAUAGCUCUUCAAACAAACCUCUUUCUCUCCCAUGACUUACAAAGAAACUACGGAGACCGGGCACUUAACUUGUGUAUUGAAAAUGCAAAUGUUGCUUAUGCAUAUAAUGGAUGUACAUAUGUUUAACUACAAAAGUAAAAAUUGGUCUGACCUAGGUCCCCAGUCAGGGUAACGGAACCUCAAUUUCAAGCCUAGUUUGAAAUGUGAGGUUUGUGGCCUGCGUCCUUUCAGCAGGACAUAGCUUUAAUGCUGCACUAGAAAGGAAUAUAGUGAAUUGGGCGAUUAGAAAGAAAGUUUUAAGUGGGAAUUAUCUGGCAGUUUUAGCCCACAAAUACUUGCUAAACUCACAUGUAUUAGAGUGUAGUAAGUGGAGUCUUCUGGAUUAUUUAAUGUCUUGGGCUUCCGUGGCCUCCUUGGGGGUCUCUUCAUUGGGCGAGAGUCUUCUACUUUGGCUGCAACUGUAAAAAAGCAGAAGAUAGCAAUACUUAUUUCUUCAUAGAAUGGGAGGCUUUUAGGGAAAUGGGAGAAUUUCACUGGAGAGAAAAAAAAUCCAUAUAGCCAGUUUUACUGCUUGCAGUAAUUUAAGAAAGCAACUGUUUUAGGCAUUUCCAUCACUAGCCUAGAAAUAAGAGUGCUUUUAUCCAUUUGAGUCCUGACUACCCACAGGGACACAUACCAUAUAACGAAUGUCAGGCUGAGGCAGCCCAGCGGUCUACCUGGCACAGGCUUUUCCUUCUGAAAAGGGCUGAUGCUCCACAUUCAGAAAAGGGCUUUGAUGGGUAAUGGCUACUGGAAGGCCACCAUCUUGUAACAGGAUCUGGGCGGCAUGGAUGCUGUUUUUUUCAGACCUAAGUCGAUUAUUAAGUUGCUGAAUGAGGGCAGUAGCAUGAGACCUCUAAUUCAGAGGUUGGUCCUCUAUAUUAUCAUGGUGUAGAUUUUCCUGAAGGUCUCCUGCUGAGGCUAUUCGUUUCAAGCCAAAUCAUGUACCACUGGACAACACAGCAUGACCAUGUCCAUUGCAUCCAGUAAUCUAGUUUAGUGUACUCAACUUCUGGUCUCUAUUUCUACAAAAACUUUCUGCAAACAUGCUGAAAAUGCUUCGUUCUAAUGGAAACAAAAUCAAGAUUUUUAACACAAAAUGGAACUGCUAUUCUCUGGCAGCCUCCAAACUCAGAGUUGGACACUGACUUGUGGAUUUCAUUGGUUGGCACAUGAGGAACCAGAAAAAUCUCCUGGAUAUUCGCUUGUUUAAAAUUUAUAUGCAAUUCUGGCAGUGCUAAGAUGUAGGGCUGAUAUGGAUUCAUAGCCUGUUUGUCACAGAGCCAACAGAGAGUGCAGGGUUCCUGCAGAACUGACUCUGGGUGACCGAGGGACCACAAAAGUACAGCAUGGUGAGCAUGAUCACCUUACAUUCGGCUUCAGCUAUAGGAAAAGUUAAUAGGAGGCUAUAGCAAUUCCUUUAUGAUGAAGGGGGUUGCACAACAGCAGAACACUGAUGCUAGAGGUGGAUCAUUGGGACGCGCACAGGGAGAUGAAUGAAGUCACAGCACAAGGUUUAGGCACAGUGAACCGUGUGUCCAGGUAUAUUGCAUUAUCCAGUGAAGUUUUAUAUUGUCCUUGUCCCAUCACAGAAGUAUUCAUGGGACAGCCCAUGAGAGAAAACAUCUCCUUACUCCUAAAUGAACAUAGUGUGAGGGUGGAAUGAGGAUCUAGUUCCUAAUGAAUUACUGAAGUGUGUUUUGCUGAUCUAAUCCUCCUCCACAUGAAGCAACUUUAACUCUCUAACCCAGAUGUGCUAACUAUAUGUGAUUGAGUCUUAGAAGGAAGAAUGUAUUUUGUUCUCUAAUGACCAUCAGAAACCCCUUUUACAUGAUAAAAAUAAAAACUCUUGCAUGUACAUCAGGCAUCUUUUUAAUUAAGGAGGUAGCACAAUCAUUUAAAACGAGAAAUGAUCAGUGAUACAUCAGUAUUGACUCCUGCAAAAUUAGCCGUGUAAGUUUUUUGUUCUGUGUGAUAAAUAAAGGCUUGUAAAGGUCACAGAUAUACAGAGGAGCCAGAACGAAUAAUGUUAAUUUAAAUUGUAGUUGGAUAAUGAUUACAUUUAUUGUUUUACUUUCUUAUCUGAAAUGCAGACUGCUUCUCAUGUAAUGAAUGAAAAAGUAUCUUUUAACAUUUUGCACUUAAGAAAACAACGGUGUUUUUCUAAGUCAGGAUACAGAUAAUUCAUGUUAAACAAUGAAAUUUAAAUGCGAUAAAUUCAUUUCACUAAUCUGCGUUAAAUAUAAAUUACAUUCUUUGAUUUGAAUAGUAUAGCAGCCCUGACUGUGCUCUCAUGUGGGCUGCUGCAUUUCAAAUGGGCCACCUGGAGUUAUCCAAGUUUCUGUUUGUGAGAGAGUAGAGGCAUAUGUUCACUAUUUUAAACACAACAGGAGCCUAAACUGGAAACAAUAUCUUAAAAAAACCCCCAAACUUAGAAUUUGGUGUAGCUGAAUAGAAACACCCAACCCUUUGUCUGUAGGACAUUUUCAAAAAUAGUGUCAAAGAUCAUGACUGCAUGAAAAUCUGGAAAAAGAAAAUGAAGCCAAACUGAGAGCUUUAGGAAAAUCCCAAGGAAAAGGCUCUCAUAAUACCUAAAGAUUUUUUUGUUGUUCCCUAAGAAUUCAUCACUAUGUAUGCUGUUACAUUCUUUAAUUCAUCACUGUCAAACACAUAAAGCAUUAUCAUAUUCUAGAUUACAAUUAUUCCAACUGAAAUUACUUGUAUACUUCUUCUGUAUGUGCUCUGCAAAGAAGACUCCUAUUACACUCAAACCCCAGCAUUCCGACAAUGCUAAAGGUUUCAGUAAAAAAUAGCUUUUCAUCUCUGCUUAUGUGUUGUACAUAUGUAUGAGCUAUGCAAAAAAUGAACAGAAAUACCAUGUUGGGGCAGGCAGGCUUCUAAGCUUGGACCUCUUGUCGUUCCUUUUUUAAAUUACAUAUAGGGCUGAAAAUGCAAUUCUGAGUUUUGUCUCCAAAUUACAUAAUAAGUAAGUAAAAAAUAGUUUGAUGGGUUUGCUUGAAAUGAUGAAGCGAUGAAGCUUGCUUUGCUUCGCUGGAAAAUGAACUUGUGAUUUCCUUCUGCACUUAGAUUUGUGUGUUCAUUGCUACUGAAAUAAGCUGAUGUGGUAGUUGCUUGUACUGGAUAACUCACUGCACAAAGCAAAACUUGUUUUUUUAUUAGUUGCCAAUAAUUCCGGAAAUCAUUUACUUAGUAGAAUUAAAGGUGGAAUGGAAAUUAAAUAUCCAAGCCUGAUACAUGGUGAGCUUGAUGUGCUUGUUUUCCAGAUGGCCUAUACUUUCCUGCAUUAGGCGAUGAAGCAGAAAGGAGGGGUAAAAUCAUUCAUUUAUUAAUAGGCCAAUUAUGUUGCUUUUACAGUCCAUGACAAAUAAAACGUUUUUAUUGAAGCCCACUCUCUCCAAAGUAGAAUACCUUAUAUCCUACUUUUCCUUAAGACUUCAAGUAUCUCCAGCAAGAUCUGGCCAUGUGCUUUAUAUGUAAAAGGAAAAUUGAGGCUUUCUAUCUAACAUUUAAAUAAUACGUUACAACAUUGAUAAGAAAAACAUUCACAACAGGAGCAGUCAAAGCACUUUGGAAAUAUCACGUUGGCGCUAUCAUUCCUAUUUUACUAGCAAUAUAAAUGAGAUGCACAAAGCAAGACACAUCAAGACCUGCUUAAGGUUAUGUCCCGGUUAGUCAUUAACACAGCUAAGGGCUGGACUGAAGGACUGUGCUGAGGCUCCUGUCUCUGCAACCAGCCCAUGCUCUGUUGAUUAUAUCUAUCUGAACAAGUACUGCCAGUUCUGCAAUACAUGCCUUAGAAGCAAUGCACAGGAGAAACUGAACACCCCCACCCCCCAUUUGAUGCUACACAGACAUUACUUUUUAAAGGUUUUACCAAGAGGAAGACAGGUCAAACAAGUUGAAAGGAAGGAUUUUCUUCAAACCGUCCAAGUGCAUACAGCCAGUACUCAGUCAAAAGAAAG